rnacentral:rRNA from 1 species
GUGCAACCUGCCUUUAUCAGGGGAAUAGCCUUUCGAAAGGAAGAUUAAUGCCCCAUAAUAUAUUGACUGGCAUCAGUUGAUAUUGAAAACUCCGGUGGAUAAAGAUGGGCACGCGCAGGAUUAGAUAGUUGGUAGGGUAACGGCCUACCAAGUCAACGAUCCUUAGGGGGCCUGAGAGGGUGAUCCCCCACACUGGUACUGAGACACGGACCAGACUCCUACGGGAGGCAGCAGUGAGGAAUAUUGGACAAUGGGUGAGAGCCUGAUCCAGCCAUCCCGCGUGAAGGACGACGGCCCUAUGGGUUGUAAACUUCUUUUGUAUAGGGAUAAACCUUUCCACGUGUGGAAAGCUGAAGGUACUAUACGAAUAAGCACCGGCUAACUCCGUGCCAGCAGCCGCGGUAAUACGGAGGGUGCAAGCGUUAUCCGGAUUUAUUGGGUUUAAAGGGUCCGUAGGCGGACUCGUAAGUCAGUGGUGAAAUCUCACAGCUUAACUGUGAAACUGCCAUUGAUACUGCGGGUCUUGAGUGUUGUUGAAGUAGCUGGAAUAAGUAGUGUAGCG